CCCGAUUUACAUAAUAAAAUAUAUUUCAGAUAUUUGGUCUUCCCGAUGCGUAGAGAAACACGAGUGAUAUGUUUGUUGUAAGAUUCCUUUUCUUAACAACUUAUCGUCCAACACACAAACUCGGUUUCAGUACAAGUAUAUCCUGCUCAAAGCUGUAUGAUAUCCAAUACUCCCAAUCUCGAUCUGUUCAACCAAAUCCAUAAUGCUAACUCGUGCUUGUGUAUCCUCCAUAGCAAAACUGCCUGCUCCAAGCCUUAAGGCCAUAUGUCUUUCCUUUGACAGUAAUAACACACAAUCUGAGAUUAGCAAAUCUCCAACUCAUGAACCUUCUUGGUUCCUGAGAUACGGCUCAUACGCCUACCCAAGGCAUUUAUCACCUGGUUGUCCUUACCAGAUAGUAUGCGAUAUCCAAACUAUAGCCUGCUACAAACUCAACCCAACUGCACUAUCCAAGUACAAGUUUUUAAUAAAUGAAGAUAAAUUUCACAUUCUAAUAAUCCCAGAGAAUCUGAACUUCCUUCCCGUACAAUUACGAUCUCCAAAACGAUAACGCAAAUACCACUACAGCCUCUCUGGCGUGAUGCAUAUGAAUGACUUAAUCCUCAUACCUUAAUUUAAAUCCAAUCCAGUAUCUGACACAUCACAGUAAGCCUCAGCCUCAGUAGAACCCAAAACUGGUGUCUUCAUUAGUUGUGCUUCAAUUCAGUGAAACUCCUCGAACAAAAAUCUAUCCAACCACACUUAACGUCUUUACAUGUAGACCGCGUCUUUAACAUUACUAUACCGGUGAAACCCUUGAUGAACUUCCAGUAGUACACUAUUAACCCAUUCAUUAGUUGUGCUUCCAUUCAGUGAAAAUCCUCGAACAAAAAUCUAUCCAACCACACUUAACGUCUUUACAUGUAGACCGCGUCUUUAACAUUACUAUACCGGUGAAACCCUUGAUGAACUUCCAGUAGUACACUAUUAACCCAAAAAGAACGGCAGAUCUUUGUAGCGCUCUUAGGUUUCGACCUUCCCGAAACGGUAUUAAUCUUCUUUGAAUCCAUCAAAAUUCUGCUUCCAAAACCAUGUUAUCCAAAAAUACAACAUUCCUCUGCCAGAAGCUACACUCCCUCAACUUAGCGAACAACUGAUGCUCUCCAGGCUUAUCCAACGCAAUCCGCCAAAAUGCUCACAAAUCUCCUUUCUACUCCAAAAUAAAUCAGGAUGUCAUUGAUGAAUACAAUCGCACACCUAUCCAAAUGUUCGCGAAAACGUCAUUCAUAUCUUCAUGAAUGCAACAGUGCCUUUGUCGAGCCAAAUGGUAUCACUGCGUCCCAUAAUAUCCAUAAUGUAUACAAAAAUUCACAUUCAGUAGAUACUCUUCAAAUAUAGUAAUCUGAUGGUGUUCUGAUGCCAUGUCAACCUUCAAGAACUAUAAACUUCCUAUAAAUAAUCCAAUAAUUCAUCAACGCGCGGAAGCGAUACUUAUCUUUAAUGGUCACUUUGUUCAGACCUUUGCAGUCGAUACAAAAUUGAAACUCCCACCUUUCUUCUUUACAACAACAAUGAUGAUAUUCCCCACGGUAAAGUACCCGGUCUGAUAAAACCCUUGUCUGAUGAAUCUUCAACAUGCUCUUUCAGCUUUUUCAUCUCUGUUGAUGCUAAUCGGUAUAAAACUUGUGAAACUGGUGUUGUUUGCUCCAAACAAAUCGCAAGAGUUUCUCAUGUGUCAUGUGGUGACCGUUCCAAAGGUCACAAAUAUAUCCUCAUACUCUGCAAUAACCGGAAGAUCCUGCAGCUCAUGUUGUCCAUCAGCCUUAACCAUCGAGAUGGUAGUCAAAAAUCUCUAUGUCCUUGUAUCCCAUAACUCCUCAGUAUGUAGCAUGCAUGCACUAACAACUUCCAUCUGCUCCAGCAAUCGGAACUCUUGCCCUCAGGCAAUCCAACACUACUUGAUGCCGUGACAAUCAAUCCGUCCCAAGGAUAACAUCGUAAAAACGUAGCUCCAUCUCUGAUGAAUAUCCGAACAAAUCGGCCCUCCAAGCAUAACUGGUACACUGCGAUGGAUAUAAAUAGCUCCCAAUGUCCUAUGUCAGUUGUCCAAACUGACACAUCUCUGAAACGAUCAACACUGCCAAAAUUGGUAAACAUACCAAAGUGUAACUCCAACACCCACACAACGCAAGCUGCUGCACCCCAAUUCAAAAGCGAUCUCCACGAGUUCACAAAACAAAUAUAUCUCCAAAAUAGUCAAUAUACUCGUACACACAACAACACAUGCCAACCAAUGGCUCAUACCACACACCACAUAGUCUCCAGUAACAAAACUCGUGGAACGAUUGCUUGAAGUGGGCUGGUGGCAGAAACGUCACAUAUCCACUCCUGGAUAGCCUCGAAAUCAUGACCGAAGAACUGAUAACUCCCGAGAAAACUGACGAACUUGGACUUCACGCAACUGCUAAACAUCUGUCGAGAACCUUGUUAGUCGAAGGACGAAUGACGAUGAUUUUACUCAUCGUCAUUGAAAGAGACAAUUGAGUUAGUAAUUACUGGACAUAAUGGUGCUAAAAGAAUUUCCAAAUAUAUAAAUAAA
rnacentral:lncRNA from 1 species